UACGUAGGGGGCAAGCGUUGUCCGGAUUUAUUGGGCGUAAAGAGCGUGUAGGCGGCCAGGUAGGUCUGGUGUGAAAACUCGAGGCUCAACCUCGAGAGGUCAUCGGAAACCAUCUGGCUAGAGUCCGGAAGAGGAGAGUGGAAUUCCCGGUGUAGCGGUGAAAUGCGCAGAUAUCGGGAAGAACACCUAUAGCGAAGGCAGCUCUCUGGGACGGUACUGACGCUGAGACGCGAAAGCGUGGGGAGCGAACAGG
rnacentral:rRNA from 1 species